AAUAUUGCACAAUGGAGGGAACUCUGAUGCAGCAACGCCGCGUGAGUGAAGAAGGUUUNCGGAUCNUNAAACUCUGUCAUUGGGGNAGAAUAAAUGACGGUACCCAAUGAGGAAGCCCCGGCUAACUACGUGCCAGCAGCCGCGGUAAUACGUAGGGGGCGAGCGUUGUCCGGAAUUAUUGGGCGUAAAGCGCGCGCAGGCGGUCUUUUAAGUCUGAUGUGAAAUCUUACAGCUUAACUGUAAGCGGUCAUUGGAAACUGGGAGACUUGAGUGCAGAAGAGGAGAGUGGAAUUCCAUGUGUAGCGGUGGAAUGCGUAGAGAUAUGGAGGAACACCAGUGGCGAAGGCGACUCUCUGGUCUGUAACUGACGCUGAGGCACGAAAGCGUGGGGAUCAAACA
rnacentral:rRNA from 1 species